UACAGAGGAGGCAAGCGUUGUUCGGAAUCACUGGGCUUAAAGCGCGUGUAGGCGGCUGAGUAAGUAUCUUGUGAAAUCCCACGGCUCACCCGUGGAACUGCAGGGUAUACUGCUCGGCUUGAGGCAGGUAGGGGCCACUGGAACUCUAGGUGGAACGGUGAAAUGUGUAGAUAUCUAGAGGAACGCCCGCGGCGAAAGCGGGUGGCUGGGCCUGAUCUGACGCUGAGACGCGAAAGCGUGGGGAGCAAACGGG
rnacentral:rRNA from 1 species